AUGGUGGAGGCACCGGGGACUUUUGUAGAGGUGAAUGACACUCGAGUAAUUAUUGGAAAAGGACUGUCACUCGAUUCAAUUAAAUUCCCUGAUUUCCACAUGUUCGACACAAACUGGAAAAUGAAAUUGCAUGCCGAAUGGAGCGAAGAACUUGGAACCGACGUAGUUUCGAUCAAGCUUCGGCACCGGAGGAGAAAUGUUGAUGAUAUCUGGAGUAUGGAUGCAACAGUCAAAAUUCAUUUUGAACAAGACUGGCUGAAAGGCGAGGUACAAGUAGAUUCCCAAUUUUCGAAUCAAGGUCAAGAAAUUGAGAUUCCCAACUGUGGAACGGUUGUGGGCAAAUUAAAUUCUUCAGAAAUCCAUCUCUGUGUUCACAUAUUUAUGCAGUGUUCCAGAUAAAUCAGUCAAAAGGAAUUCAACUUCGGAACUACAUCGACUUCGCACGACCAAUCCCCAUUUUUUCAGACACUAUAGUUCUGGUGGAUGGCGUUAAAUUCCAUGUAAAUCGAAUGAUUCUCUCAAUGGCUUCGCCUAUCUUCUUGGAAGCAUUUGUCACUAAUUUCGAUGAAAGAUCCUUGGAGUUGUGCAAUAUCUCUGCGCCGGAUUUUCGUCGAAUUCUUAACAUUAUCUAUCCACCUCAUCUGCCUCCAAAGCAGUGGAUCAAAGAGAGUGAUUUGGUUGAGCAAUUCGAACACAUUCAACGGAUUCUUCGAAUUGGAAAAUCACUUCAAAUUUCAAUCGUGUUGGAAGUUGCUGACAAAUGGCUGGUUAAAUACGGGCGGCACAAAUUAGGAGACACACUUCACUUGGCACAAGCGUUCGGGCUACGGGAGUUGAUGGGCUCCAAACUUGCCAAGAUGCGAUCUUUAGAAGAAAUAAAGAAAUGCCAAGACCAAAUUCAAGUAUUAAGUUGCAAGACGAAAGCCCUGAUUCUGGACCGCAUUCUAAGCACUCUGUAG
rnacentral:misc_RNA from 1 species